GUGCUCCUUCAGCAGCAUAAAUACUAAAACUGGAACACUGUAGAGAAGAUUAGCAUUGCCCCUGUUUAAGGAUAACAAACCUGUAAGCGUUCCAUAUUAAA
ensembl:snRNA U6 U6 spliceosomal RNA